CAGCCAUUAACAUAUUUCAAUAUUUGUAUUACUGUUUCAAAGUUUCAAUCUUGGUUUCAAUUAUUGAAUUGCUUUAUUGUAGUGAGCAUUUUGCAAAUUAGCCUGUUUACUCAAAAGUUUAAAGUCUAAAUGUAUGAAACAGUCUAUGUUCCCAGAUCACGUUGACGCAACAAGUGAUGAGGAAUGCUGGAUUGUUUCGCAUUCGAUUUUUUUCAAUCUAUUACUAAAAUGAAAUAAGUGCUGUAAGAAAUUUUGGUUCAGUGUGUUUUUAUGUCAAAAUCAAAUCACCCCACCAUUGGGGUGGCACCUGGUUGCGCACCAGCAAGCAUGAUUGUGAAUUUACCUCUGUUUGUUAAAAAUUCAGCAAUGUAGGACAAGUACUUGAUGAAGUGAACUCUAACUUUCAGCGACAGCUUCACCUACCUGUGUGAACUGCCAGACACAUUGCGGAAAAUAAGAAGAAUUCCAAUCUCCAGUCUACUGGCAUGUAUUACAAUCUCAGAAGGGUAACAAACUAUUGAAGAAAAUCCAAUGGGAAGAAUAAAAACUUUGGUGUGAAAAAGUGCAGACUCGUUGAAAGCUCAAAUGCUGGUUCAUUGCACAGCGCAUCUUUGUCGAAAAAACUAACCUCUGAGUCUCUGACAAGAAAUUAGCAUAUCGUUAUGGGUAACGAUUUGAUUUAACAGCUUUACAUGUUGAAUGUGAUCCUAAAGUAGAGCCGGAAGAUACCGGUGCGCCAACAUCCAACGGUGCGCGAUCAAGUUACCUUACGAUUCAUAGUUCCGAUGGAAUCACUAUCAAGGAGAAAAGCAGUCGAAAUGUCCUUUACCAACUGAUGUCAUCUUCAAGUUGGUCACGGAAGUGAGGAACAGGACGCAUGUCAACCAGUACACGAACUAACACUCGAUUGACGCGAACACUCUUGCGCUCAAUUGUGGUAAACGAACUUUCGGCGCAUUUGUGAUUCAACAGUGAAAUGGAUGCCCAUAAAUUCUUUUCGAUGCUCAAUAAUGAAAUGCUUACUGUGUCUUCUUUGACUAAUGAUCGGCUUGAGGUUUAAAUGGGAUGCAACUUACAAACUACACCGACGUUGCAACCGGAUUUUUUUACAUCUGCAGUCAGAACGUUUCCAUGUAACUUUCACUCCACCAUCACUACGAAUUCCUUAUUUCUCUACUCUGGAAUAUUUGGGUUACGACCGACGAAGAAACUGGCAUCCUGGAAGAAAUUGACGAUAGUGAAGAAACUAAUGUCGUGGAUUACCGAGCAGCCUCAUUGUCCCAUAAAUUCCAACAACCUGCUUACAGUUUUGAAACAGAAUUUGGAAAGGCCGUUUGUCGAGAGCCAAAAAAAAAACAAUUUGAAACAAGAAUUAUUUAAGCAGGCAGCCCCCACGAUACACAGUACAGUUGAAAAAAGAACGUGAAGCGACAGAAAAUCCUCUCAUGAUCAUCAUCCAACGGGUUAUGCUCGUCUAACACCGUCCACCGGAAACGUUGAUGUAUUUAGUAUCUUAUUGGUGUUUAUCCAUUUCAUCAGCUAAAAUUUCUGAAAUAAAGUUUAUUUUCAGGAAUUCAUUAAGAAACCAUCAUUCAAACAUAUCUUCAUACUCGGAACCCGAUAUACAGAAGAAAAAGUGCAGCGGCCUUUUUUCUGUUAGAACAGCAGAAGUACGUGCCCAGACAUCUUUGAUAAAAGUA